AUCCGAUAAGCGCUGAAUUCGACUACCGGAAACGGGGGAACCAGUAGAGCAAGGUCUUAACAGAUCUUUCUCAGGGGUGAAUCACUUGUAUAAGUGUAGGGCUACUUUCGUGCCCGAAUCCGUCAGCUAACCUCGUAAGCGUUCGAAAGAGGAAAU
rnacentral:sRNA from 1 species